rnacentral:rRNA from 1 species
UACGUAGGGGGCUAGCGUUGUCCGGAUUUAUUGGGCGUAAAGAGCUCGUAGGCGGUUUUGAAAGUCGGGUGUGAAACCUCCAGGCUCAACCUGGAGACGCCACUCGAUACUUCAAUGACUUGAGUUCGGUAGGGGUAAGCGGAAUUCCUGGUGUAGCGGUGAAAUGCGCAGAUAUCAGGAGGAACACCGACGGCGAAGGCAGCUUACUGGGCCGAUACUGACGCUGAGGAGCGAAAGCGUGGGGAGCAAACAGG